ensembl:lncRNA
CAUCGCAUUAAUGCCACUGUACGAGUGGAAAUGGCCGGUCUGGGUAGAGUGUUCUACAGCCCCAGGAACCAGACAGUCAGGGAAGGAGAGGCGGUGUUCCUCCAGUGUGUGUCGGGGGAAAGCUCGCCGGCCGCAUUCAUCUCCUGGUUGAAAGAUGGGGAGUUGGUCAAAAGAGGCAAACAGAUUCAAGGUCAGUACGGAGGUGGACACCAGAAAAAGACUUCCGGCACCCUUCAUCUCCCCAACGUCACUCGAGACGAUGGGGGUGUUUAUGACUGUGUCACUUCCAACCCUCUCCUCAACGUUACCCGGUGCAGCGUGGCGGCGACUCUCACGGUGCUCGGUGCACCUACAGGACUGCAGAUUACCCAGGGUCCCACCUCCAUCACCGUCGCCAAGGGAACAGAGGCUGUGAUGCGUUGCAUUGUGAAAGG